ACGGGGUGCAGCAGGCGCGAAAACUUUACAAUGCGGGAAACCGUGAUAAGGGAACUCCGAGUGCCCGUAAACGCGGGCUGUCCAUCUGCUUAAAAAACAGGUGAAGAAAGGGCUGGGCAAGACCGGUGCCAGCCGCCGCGGUAAUACCGGCGGCUCGAGUGGUGGCCACUAUUACUGGGCUUAAAGCGUCCGUAGCUUGGUUGUUAAGUCUCUUGGGAAAUCUGUCGGCUUAACCGACAGGCGUUUAAGGGAUGCUGGCAACCUAGGGACCGGGAGAGGUGAGAGGUACUUCAGGGGUAGGAGUGAAAUCCUGUAAUCCUUGGGGGACCACCUGUGGCGUAGGCGUCUCACCAGAACGGCUCCGACAGUGAGGGACGAAAGCUGGGGGAGCAAACCGGAUUAGAUACCCGGGUAGUCCCAGCCGUAAACGAUGCGCGUUAGGUGUAUCGGUGACCACGAGUCACCGAGGUGCCGAAGGGAAACCGUCAAACGUGCCGCCUGGGAAGUACGGUCGCAAGGCUGAAACUUAAAGGAAUUGGCGGGGGAGA
rnacentral:rRNA from 1 species